rnacentral:rRNA from 1 species
UGGGGAAUAUUGGACAAUGGGCGAAAGCCUGAUCCAGCCAUGCCGCGUGUGUGAAGAAGGUCUUCGGAUUGUAAAGCACUUUAAGUUGGGAGGAAGGGCAGUAACCUAAUACGUAUCUGUUUUGACGUUACCGACAGAAUAAGCACCGGCUAACUCUGUGCCAGCAGCCGCGGUAAUACAGAGGGUGCAAGCGUUAAUCGGAAUUACUGGGCGUAAAGCGCGCGUAGGUGGUUUGUUAAGUUGGAUGUGAAAUCCCCGGGCUCAACCUGGGAACUGCAUUCAAAACUGACUGACUAGAGUAUGGUAGAGGGUGGUGGAAUUUCCUGUGUAGCGGUGAAAUGCGUAGAUAUAGGAAGGAACACCAGUGGCGAAGGCGACCACCUGGACUGAUACUGACACUGAGGUGCGAAAGCGUGGGGAGCAAACAGGAUUAGAUACCCGAGUAGUCCCUGAGCGGGCUGGCAAGGCGCAU